UACAGAGGUCUCAAGCGUUGUUCGGAUUCAUUGGGCGUAAAGGGUGCGUAGGUGGCGGGGUAAGUCAGGUGUGAAAUCUCGGAGCUCAACUCCGAAACUGCACUUGAUACUGCCUUGCUCGAGUACUGGAGAGGAGAUUGGAAUUUACGGUGUAGCAGUGAAAUGCGUAGAUAUCGUGAGGGAGACCAGUGGCGAAGGCGGAUCUCUGGACAGCUCCUGACGCUGAGGCGCGAAGGCUAGGGGAGCAAACGGG
rnacentral:rRNA from 1 species